GGUGUUGCUAAGUUUGAUGAUGGAACUACAAUGUUUUUGGUUCCUCCUUCAGAGUUUUUGAGAAAAGUCUUGAAAGUUUCUGGUCCUGAACGGCUUUAUGGUCUCGUUCUCAAAUUUCCUCAGGUGUCUAUUAGUGAACCUGCUCCCCAACAGUCAUAUCUACCCAUUCCUACAUCUGACUAUGGUGAGAGACAACAUGUUUUGCCUUCACAAACUGAAUAUGGAUCAGUGCCUUCAAAGCAGGAGCAACUUCCUCCAAUGGAUUAUAGUAGGGUUUU
rnacentral:misc_RNA from 1 species